UGUAUUUAUACAUUUUUAUAUUAGAAAUGAUAUUUGCACUACUAUAAUAAAAAAUAAAACAAAAGAAAUUUUUUUUUAAUUUUUUUUUAAAUUUUUUGUUGUAUUAAAAAAUAUCAUUACGUUUAUACUUGAGUAAAUAAAUAUCUUUUAUCUAUUCUAUGAUACUUCUCGUUUAUUCGUGUAUAUGUAUACAGGCGUAUUUAUUUUAUUAUUAGUAAUAGCAUAAUCAGAAACCACAAUACAUAAUAUCAAAAUUUUAUCAAUGGCAAGUUUAAAAAAAAUUUUAAUAAUAUUUUUUAUCGUAAUAAACUUAUAAAUAUUAAAUUUUAAGGAUUUUAUGUAUUAUUAAUUCUUUAUAUAUAUAUAUAUAUAUAUAUAUAUGUGUAUAUAUAUAUAUAUAUAUUUUAAAAACGAUGAGUUAAAAAAAAUUAUGUUACUAAAUGUGUUAUUUUAUAUUAAUUGUAUAUUUACAUUUUCACUAAAUACAUUUUUUAUUGUUGCUACAAUAACUGAUAUUCAAAAUAAAGCAAAGAACAAUCAAAGCGUAAAAACUAGCACUAAAGAAAAAUUAAACUUUAAAAAUACCGAACAAUUAUUAGAUAUAUGUGAUAAAGUCUAUAAAAUUGAAGAUGAUAUUACAUAUGAAUAUUUAUCAAAACUAAUGAACGAAGAAAAUGAUGAAAAUGAUAAUUGUAUUAAUUUUAUAUUCAGUUUUAAAAAACGCAACAAAAAAAAACUUAAUUUACAUAUAAAUGAAAUAAAAAAUAUAAUUAGAAAAAAAUUAGAACAAGAACAUAUUGAUUAUCCCGAAUAUAAAAUCAACUCAAUGAGCUGUAGAAUAUGUCAGCGUAUAAUAGAUUAUAAUGCAAAUAUUUCAUCAAGCACAUUAAAUUUUUUUUUACUUUAUACAGAAAGUGACAAUGCAAAAUUGUUGUUACAAAAAAUAAAAGAUGUAAUAAAUGAUGACAAUUAUGAUAUAAUAAAUAAUUUUAAAACAUUAAAAAAUGUAAUUUCGAAAUAUAAAGCCUGUCAACAUUACUUAAAUGACAAUGAAAUUGAGAACAUUGUUUGCCGAAUAAUUCAAAGAGUAAGUGAUUUAGUUUAUAUUGGUUCUUCUAAUUAUAGCGAUUUAAAACAAAUAAAACAAAAAAAAAACAGUCAACCUACAAUGAUAAAAAAAGAAAUAGUUGACAAAAAAAGUAAAAAACAAAUGAAUCAGCCGACUAUUAUAAAAAAAGAAAUAGACGAUCGAAAAAAUAGAAAACAAAUGAAUCAACAGACAACUAUAAAAAAAAAAAUAGAUGUCGAAGUAAGUAAAAAGGCAAUUAGUCAACCGAUAAUUAUAAUAAAAGAAAUAAACUUCGGAAAUAGUAAAAAACAAAUUAAUCAACCGACGACUGUAAAAAAAGAAGUAAGCGUCGAAGAAAGUAAAAAAGCAAUUAAUCAACCGACCAUUAUAAAAAAAGCAAUAGAUGUUGGAAAAACUAAAAAGGAAAUUAUUCAACCGACAAUGAUAAAAAACACUUAAAAUGCAAAAAUAAGUUAAAAGUUAAAUAAAACAUAUGUAAAUUGUAAUAAGAUUGAACA
rnacentral:lncRNA from 1 species